rnacentral:rRNA from 1 species
GACGAACGCUGGCGGCGCGCUUAACACAUGCAAGUCGAACGGAAAGGCCUGCUUUCCCUUGUGGAUUGCGGGUACUCGAGUGGCGAACGGGUGAGUAACACGUGAGUGAUCUGCCCCCAACUUGGGUAUAAGCCUGGGAAACUGGGUCUAAUUCCCGAUAGGACUGCAGGGUGGUGCCUGUGGUGGAAAACGAUUUUCUAGUGGUUGGGGAUGAGCUCGCGGCCUAUCAGCUUGUUGGUGGGGUAAUGGCCUACCAAGGCGGCGACGGGUAGCCGGCCUGAGAGGGUGGACGGCCACAUUGGGACUGAGAUACGGCCCAGACUCCUACGGGAGGCAGCAGUGGGGAAUAUUGCACAAUGGGCGGAAGCCUGAUGCAGCGACGCCGCGUGGGGGAUGACGGCCUUCGGGUUGUAAACUCCUUUCGACCGCGAGGAAGCCACCUGGUUGGAAGGGUGGUGACGGUAGUGGGAGAAGAAGCACCGGCUAACUACGUG